UACAGAGGUGGCAAGCGUUGUUCGGAAUUACUGGGCGUAAAGGGCGCGUAGGCGGCCUUCUAAGUCAGACGUGAAAUCCCCCGGCUUAACCUGGGAACUGCGUCUGAUACUGGAGGGCUUGAGUGCGGAAGAGGAGAGUGGAAUUCCCGGUGUAGCGGUGAAAUGCGCAGAUAUCGGGAAGAACACCCGUGGCGAAGGCGGCUCUCUGGGACGGUACUGACGCUGAGACGCGAAAGCGUGGGGAGCGAACAGG
rnacentral:rRNA from 1 species